rnacentral:rRNA from 1 species
UACGGGAGGCAGCAGUGGGGAAUAUUGCACAAUGGGCGCAAGCCUGAUGCAGCCAUGCCGCGUGUAUGAAGAAGGCCUUCGGGUUGUAAAGUACUUUCAGUCGUGAGGAAGGUGUUAAGGUUAAUAACCUUAGCAAUUGACGUUAGCGACAGAAGAAGCACCGGCUAACUCCGUGCCAGCAGCCGCGGUAAUACGGAGGGUGCGAGCGUUAAUCGGAAUUACUGGGCGUAAAGGGCACGCAGGCGGUUAAUUAAGUUGGAUGUGAAAUCCCCGGGCUUAACCUGGGAAUGGCAUUCAAGACUGGUCAGCUAGAGUCUUGUAGAGGGGGUAGAAUUCCAUGUGUAGCGGUGAAAUGCGUAGAGAUGUGGAGGAAUACCGGUGGCGAAGGCGGCCCCUGGACAAAGACUGACGCUCAUGUGCGAAAGCGUGGGGAGCAAACAGGGAUUAGAUACC